UCCUUAAUAGCUUAGUUGGUAAAGAAUCCGCCUACAAUGCAGGAAACCCAUGUUCGAUUCCUGGGUCAGGAA
rnacentral:tRNA from 1 species